AAAAUCAGGUGGGUUCAAUGAGCCAGAGACAGGGCUGGGGGUGGGGGUGGCGGUUUAGGAGAGCAAACGAGGUUGAGCCCAGGUCCCAUCAAGAUCAGGCUGAUGGGCUGGCGGCUGGAAUGGGACUUUGCAGACCAUGUGGGUAGCAAGGACUUUACAUGGAAGCCCCUGGAGUGGGGGUGGGCGUUGUGAGCAGAGGGCAAUGUGAUCCCAGGUCCUUUUCACCCUUAGAGAGGGACAGCUCUUUGCCUCUGCCUUUUGCUGUGCUUCUCUCACCAUCAAGGAAUCUGAUAAGAACUGUAUGUAAACGUGCGAUUUCAGGGAGGUUACGGGGUGCUCCGGUGCAGACUGCCUGGUUUGGUCUGCGCCAUGCCCCGCACACAGGUAAAUGUAGACUCACUUCUAGUCAUAAUAACUAGCAUUUCCAGAGCUUUCAGUCUGUGCCAUGCUUUGAACCAAGUGCUCUGUUAGCAGGGAGCUCAAUGUUGACAACAAGACAAAGAGGAAGGUCUUGGGAAGGUGCUUGGUGACCCUCUUUAUUCAGAUGGAAAAGGAGAACUAGAGAGGGUAACCAGCUUUCCUGCGAUCACAGAUGGAGUCGGUGACGAAGGAAGGGGGACCAACCUGCAGUUUCUGGGUUUAGCCAUUAGGCCAGGACACCCUCCAAGUUAACUCAAUCUCAGGGGUCAAGGCGGCCCUCAGGUCCAGCCAGAGUCUUCCCAUGGGUCUCAAGCCCAGUCAGAAACUCUGAUCAGUUAUUUGACUCCAGCUUUGCCAGGAAAACUGGGCAAAGCAAGGUUGUCACUGUCGGGUUGGGUGAGGACCGCAGACUUGGGGCAGGGCUGGCUGGGUUGAGCCCCCACAGCUGGCAGGGUGGGUGCGGAGGGAGGAUCAUCCAGUCAGGGCGAGCAGCGUGUACGUGUGGUGUUCACUGCGUUGAGUCUGGCCCUGGGGUCUGUGGGAACAUUUGAGUCUUAGUACACCUGGAUUUGGCAUUGGCUCAGCAAGGAGGAUGCCUGGCUUCAACGCCAACCUCACGGCUCACUAGCUGGGUGACUUUGGGCAAGUGGCUAAGCAUCUCUGUGCCUCCUUUUCUGAAAAUGGGAGAGAAUCACAGUUUAUACUUCACAGGGUCUUGUGAUUAUUCGAGGCCAUGGUGCUUGUCAGGUGCCAGGCAUAGCGCUCGGUCUGUGGUGGGGAGUUCAUUCUACAGUGUGAGCCAGAUGACAUUCCACCAGCUUCAUCGUAGGGUGGAUGGGUUGUUAUUACGUUUGCUAUCGUGUGUAUUCCUGAGCUGUUGGAGAAGCCACCUCGAUACUUUCUGGAUAUUGCACUCCCAGGACUAGUUACAAGAUUAAACCCUCCGCAUUCUCUCUCUGACCCCAGGGCAAACCCUGCAGGUGUCUGUAACCAUUCCCUAACCCUCCAAUUCCAGGGCUGAAGACGUCUGCUACCGCUUCUCUGGAAGACCUAGGUUUGUUAGCCACGCCCACCACUCCUCCAAUCCCAGGCUUAAGGACAUUAAGCCACGCCUCCCCGUCAAUUCCUGGGCCUGGACAGCCCAAACUUGCCACGCCUCCUCCUGUACCACUAGCGCCGCCCCCUGGCCUCUAGGUUCUAUCUUCCCCACACCAUCCACUCAAACCCUCUCAGAGCCCUGGGCCUAUGAGUAGUCACUAAUGUGGAUGUGUGUGCGUCCUGGAGACUUUAUUUGUCCCUGUUCUUCCCUAGAGCCACGGGGAUCUGAGACCUUGGAGGGGCAUAGGCAGAGGCCCUGAAGUUCAUGUGAUCCACAAACCUCUGCUCACCCCGACUCCCUUGUCUGGUGGCCAGAUAAAAUACAGGAUGCUCACCGACACUUGAACUUUAGAUGGGGAGAUGGAGGCUCAGAGGCUCAAAGUCCCAGGGUUACAUAGCAGCACGAGGAUCUCAACUCACCUGACUCCAAAACCUUAACCUGGGCUCUUCUGACUUGACUUGGGGUUGUGCAUGUGCAGUGCUAUGUGGGGAGGUGCGUCCAGCAGUGUGUUUGUGGGGUCAUGGUGCCGAGUGUGUGGUGGUGUCAGCCUUCUUGAUUCGACACUGAGGCCCGGAGGCUAAACCUGGAUUGCUUGCUCCCCUCAGACAAACUUGCUCUGGGUGCUCACCUAGUCCAGAGAGAACAACUGGUCCCACCCCUCUUCCCCCUGGGGGGGGGGGCUCCUCAGGGGUCUCCCCACCCUCCUCCCCUAGAUGCCCAGAGCCCUGGGGGAAAGGGGGAAAGAAUUCAGGAUGAGGGUGGAGGUGUGGGGAGGAGGGAGAGGGCAGGGGAUGGGUUAAGAAGGAGUGUGUGAUGUCAAGCAAAAAAGACAACAUUAGACACAGAUGCUGAGAU